AGACGUGUUAAGCGGGGAGCUAAUAAAUGUUUGAAAAAGUCUAUUAUCCCUCAAAAGUUGAGGGGCGAUAGGUGCGACCGUAACAUUUAGCUUCAUCUGAUUUAAGUGAAAGAAAAAACAGCUCUGUAGAAAAAACCAUGUGCCAAUCCUUCAAACCAAAAAAAAAAAAAACAAUAAAAGAAGAGCUUAUCAUGGUGUCGUAAUAGUAUGUUUGCAGAAUUCUGAAAUUGAAAGCCUGAAGAAUGCACUCGGCAUUGAAAAAUGUGCACAGCAAAAACAGCUGGUUGUAAUUCUAAACGUCAAAUGUACAGAUUUCCUGGUUGGAAAAACUGGUCUUGAAGAAAAUGGAAGAAUAUUUUCUGUAUCACAUGGCAAGAAGAAUACCUCCUCAAAGUCACUUCUGUGCUGCAGAAAAAUCAACAAAUCUACAUCCUGAUUUUCUGCCGUUCUGUCAGUCACUACCCAAUCCUUUUGAACAACAGGAGUAUUCUUCAAUCAGACUGUUCCUCAUUGUCUCGAAGAUGUAUUGCUUGUCAUGCCCAAUGAGAAAUUUCAAAGGACUGUGUUGUGAAUUGGUAUCACCUUUACAAAGUCGAACAGCAUAUUUAGAUCAUGUGUAUACUGUGAAAGAGAUCAUGUGUCUGUCAACAAAAAUGGAUCUCUCUGUUUGCGACAUCAGACCUCCCCAUUCUGAUGCAGAGCUCUUGAAAUGAAGUUGAACAUUUUGAACCAUCUCAGUCCAAAGCUCAAGUUCUAGAGGUAUUAGAAUAGUAGUCGCUUUUUGGUUGGUGUUACUUCGCGUCAUCAGAUGCAUCAAUCGGAAUGGUGUUCACUUCCUCGACGUCAUUGCUCACGGUUAUAUCGACCCGUAAAGGCAAAUCGGAAGAGGGUAUUCUUUUCCUUUACAUAAAGAACGGAAAUCUAAUGCAUUAGUAAAUCAUCCGCAUCCAAACAGAUCAGACGCCGAGGUAUUCCGCCUCGUCCGACAACUUAUCAUCCAGCAACGCAUCCAUCAACAGAAUGUAUUAAAGAGGAAAGUAAUUGACCAAAUGCCGACUCUACGAUUUCCAUGCAAGAUGAAUGUUAGGAUAUGUGGUGAGCAGGAUGCAACGGACUAUGUCGUGUAAAACCAUUAGCUGAAUACAAUGAAUACCAUCAGUUCCCCAGAACGAGAGGUUAAUAAUCAUUCUAAAUCAAAAGAGGUAUCAAGUUAAAUGAGAUUUAAAAAUGAUAGCAGUUGGAAGCGCAUGUGGGAACUUCGAAGAACGCUACCUGCACGUUACCUUUAGUCGCUGAUUCAUCUCGAAGAUAAAAUAAGUAAUUUUUAUAAAUUGAAGUGUGUAUCUGGGCUCCCUUCUUUUCUGUGGCCCCGUUUCCCCAUGACUUGUGAUAAGCCCGCAGCGGGUCAUGCCGUUACUGUGAUCAGCAGCAAAGGUUGUGAGUGCGCUGUCCGGAAAGGGGACGUGGGGGUCCUCAAG